CCCUUAGAUGUCCUGGGCCGCACGCGCGUUACACUGAUGCAUUCAACGAGCUUAUACCCUUGGCCGAGAGGCCUGGGCAAUCUUGUUAACGUGCAUCGUGAUAGGGAUAGAUUAUUGAAAUUAUUAAUCUUGAACGAGGAAUUCCUAGUAAACGCAGAUCAUCAAUCUGCAUUGAUUACGUCCCUGCCCUUUGUACACACCGCCCGUCGCACCUACCGAUUGGAUGGUCCGGUGAAGCCUCGGGAUUGUGGUUCUUGCCGCUUUAUUGUAGCGUGACCGCGAGAACUUGUCUAAACCUUAUCAUCUAGAGGAAGGUGAAGUCGUAACA
rnacentral:rRNA from 1 species